GAGGUUAGGAGUUCGAGACCAGCGUGGCUAAUAUGGUGAAACCCCUUCUCUACUAAAAAUACAAAAAAAAAAAAAAAAAUUAGCCGUUAGUGGUGGCCCACACCUAGUCUCAGCUACUCGGGAGGCUAAGGCAGAAGAAUCGCUUGAACCUGGGAGGCAGAGGUUGCAGUGAGCCGAGAUUGCGCCACUGCACUCCAGCCUGGGCAACAGAGCAAGACCCCCUCUAAAAAAAAAAGGGGGUGUGAACCAAAGGCUGUAGAACGCCAGGCACAACCCCUGCUCUCAUAGGAAGCCUUUGACUUGAGUAACAUUUGAGUGUGGUAUUGAAAAAAAAUGCUGGCAGAAUAAAGAUGAGGAUGCAUGUUACAGGAGGGGAGACUCAAGGGACCAGAAGAUAAUUUCUGGAAAAGGCAGGACAGGAUCAGAGAGUGGGGAUUAGGCCAGUUGAGGCGGGCACUACAACGCUACAACAGCCUAAGGGGAUCUAAAGCUAGAAAGGAGGCCAGACAGACCAUAUAUCCUGCCUUAAAAGGCAGGCAGGCAUUAUAGGAAGUUUUGAAGCAGAGACAAAAUGGCUGAGGGUGCUUCACGCCCACGGUGGUGUAACUCAGACACAGAACCAUUAGGAACCUCUCACUAUGGAGGUGGCUGUGAGGGAGAAGAGGAGAAACAGAGAAGCCAUGUCUAUUUUAUUUUAUUAUUCUUAUUUUUCUACCUAUUCCUGUUGAAAAGAUGAGCUAUGUUUUGUGUCGGGGGUGAAGGAAGGGGAACUGGCCCAGUGAAAAUACGGUAGGUCAUUUGAACAGAUUUACUAUUUUUAUGUUGGGUUUGGCCAAUUGAAAUUAAUUUGCACUCCCUGGGUCAUCCAUCACACACCAUCUGAUAAGAAAGGCCUCUUGGCAAUUGGGUAGAUAGUAGGAGAAAGUAAAUAUGGAAUUAAAACUGCCUUAAAUAACCACAUAGUAAUUAAUCCCCUGUAGAUAAGAGUUACCACCACCACAUGAUGAUUCUACAUCUGCAGAGCCAACCCUAACAAGUCCCCUUCUAUGAAAGUUCUUUGAAACUCGUUUUUGUUUUGUUUUGUUUUGUUGUUUUUUCUGAGAUGGAGUCUUGCUGGGUCCCCCAGGCUGGAGUGCAGUGGGGCAAUCUCAGCUCACUGCAACCUCUGCCUCCCUGGAUCAAGCGAUUCUCCUGCCUCAGCCUCCUGAGUAGCUAGAAUUACAGGUGUGCGCCACCACGCCUGGCUAAUUUUUGUAUUUUUAGUAGAGAUGGGGUUUCACCAUGUUGGGCAGGCUGGUCUCAAACUCCUGACCUCAUGAUCCACUGGCCUCAGCCUCCCAAAGUGCUGGGAUUAAAGGUGUGAGGCACCGUGCCCGGCUGAAACUCUUAAAAAUGUUAUCAAAAAAGAAACACUACCUUUAGUCCUGUUAUUUAUGGAAAAAGAAAGUUGAGGCCAAGGCAGUCGGAUCAGGAGGUCAGGAGUUCGAGACCAGCCUGACCAACAUGGCGAAACCCCAUCUCUACUAAAAAUACAAAAAUUAUCUGGGCGUGGUGGCAUGGGCCUGUAAUCCCAGCUACUCAGAAGGCUGAGGCAGGAAAAUCGCUGGAACCUGGGAGGCAGAGGUUGUGGUGAGCCAGGAUCGUGCCAUUGCAUGCCAGCCUGGGCAACAAGAGCAAAACUCCGUCUCAAUAAAUAAAUAAAUAAAUAAAUAAAUAAAUAAAUAAAUGGUGGGGUUUUUUGUUUUGUUUUGUUUUUGAGACAGGGUCUCAUUCUGUCAUCCCCGCUGCAGUGCAGUGGCACAAUCUUGGCUCACUGCAACUUCUGCCCUGUUCCCCAGGGCUCAAGCACUCUGUCCACCUCUGCCUCCCAAAGUGUUGAGAUUACACGUGUGAGCCACCACGCUGAGCCGUUUUUUGUUUUGUUUUGUUUUUUGAGACAGAAUCUCAUUCUGUAGUCACAACUACUUAGGAGGCAAAAAAACCAGGGCCAGGCACGGCUCACUCCUGCAAUCCCAGCACUUUGGUAGGCUGAGGUGGGCAGGUCACUUGAGGUCAGGAAUUUGAGACCAGCCUGGCCAACCUAGUGAAACCCAGUCUCUACUAAAAACAUAGAAAUUAGCUGGGCAUGGUGGUGCUCGCCUGUAAUCCCAGCUACUUGGGAGGCUGAGGCAGGAGAAUCACUUGAACCCAGGAGGCGGAGGUUGCCGUGAGCCAAGAUCACGCCACUGCACUCUAGUCUGGGCAACAAGAGUGAAACUUCAUCUCAAAAAAAGGAAAAAAAAAUUUAAAAAUUUAAAAUAAAACAAUUAGCCUGGCAUGGUGACGUGCACCUGUAAUCCCAGCUAUUAAGUAGGCCAAGGUGGGAGGAUCUUUUUAGCCCAGGAGUUUGAAGUUGCAGAGAGCUGUGAUCCUAUGAUCGUGCCACUGCACUCCAGCCUGGGUGACAGAGCAAGAUCCUGUCUCAAAAAUAAAACAAAAAAGAGAACUGGAAACAAUGAACAUCUGCCUGCGUGUUCCUGUUGUGGUAGUGACCUAGGGACUUGGGAGGAAAUGACAAGGGUGACUGAUUCAGCUCAGAGACAUCUUGGCACCAGAGCUGUGUUCUAUGUUGAGCCACUUUAUCCUAGAGAGAACCAUAGGCCCGGUAGGACACCAAGAUCCCAGAAGUGGACAAUCCAUCCAUUACCAGAGGACCUUGGGCCACAAGAACAGAAGAGAAACCAGGAAGGGAGCUAGAAGAAAACCUGGCUUAUUGGUCACAUACUAGUUGAUCUUGGACUGUGAUGUCUAAUUAAAGAUUCAUAAUGUUGGCCGGGCGCGGUGGCUUACGCUUGUAAUCCCAGCACUUUGGAAGGCCGAGAAGGGCGGAUCACGAGGUCAGGAGAUCGAGAUCAUCC
rnacentral:lncRNA from 1 species